AAUCGGACCCUGCGCGGCUUGUCACCGUGAACCGGGUCAGGGUCGGAAGACAGCAGCUCUCAGCGGAACGGCAAGGGUGCCGCAGGUCGUCUGAUUCCC
rnacentral:SRP_RNA from 1 species